rnacentral:lncRNA from 1 species
GGGGCUCCUCUAAUUUUUUGAAACAUCCACAAGAACGUUGUAAUAGGAGAACAAGUCUUUUUUGAAUUGGAUCCAAUAAAUAGGGGGUGGUAUGUUUUACAACUAAAUACAUUUGUAUGGAUUUGAAGGUACAAAAAUAUAGCUGAGCUGAGGAGAGCAAUUGGAGAGUACCAGAUCAGGAUCAUUUGAUCAAAUUAUGAAAAGGAGCUUGUACAUACCCACCAUAGACUCUGGAUAUGACCACUAUCAUAGGCCUUUAAAAAUUAUUUGG